GAGGAAAUGAACGUUGACCCUGACUUCUGUUUCAUUUCUGCUUCAGAUUCAAACUUGAGGGAAGAAGAAGGAAUGACAGAGAUACAGCAAAACCCAUUUCCCACAGAUGUUGAAGAGGGUUCCAAUUUAUUAAUGACACCCGAGAGUUCCAUCAUCAUAAAUUCACCUGAAAACACCAUAAUUUAAAGCCCUUGCCCAAAUAGAACACACCAUUUGAAGUUCUGAGCUGCUGAGAAUCUGGAUAAAUCUGGAUACGAGGAUCUGCCUUACAGAGCUUCGUAACAGUCCAGGUGAAGUAAAGGUGGUCUGUGAAGGCCUCUGCGCCCAAAGGUGGAUAAGCUUCCAAUGUGAAGAAGAGUGAGACCAAACAAGCCGCAGCAUGCCUGUUCAUGUAACUGCUCUGCAGUCGCACAUCAAGAUGGUUUUCUGUCCGCCUCAUGCAAAAAGUUUUACUGCUGUGCUGGUUAUAAGUGACCAAGGUCUUGCCAGAAGAAGUGCGCUGCAGAAAGUCCAUUUAACACGAGCAAUAACGAGUUGGUUUUGGUCAUAUUUAGAAUAAUUUUAAACACAAAGACACACAUUAUGCAUGUAGUCAGUGAACAUAUAUAUAUGUGUGUGUGUGUUAAAGUGUUCAACUGUGCAAAAAAGAAAAAAAGUUACGUUUUUAUGGCUAAUGGACUAAUUGCCUAUGUUCAUGUGUGCAUAUUUGGGAAAAGGUUUGGUGGCUUUUUUUCUUUUCCUUGUAUGUAUUAAGUAUGUGAUAAAGCUUCAGCUGAAAAGCUAAAGGUGCCUAAAAAAAUUUGAAUAUUAUGUUUUUUUUAUUGCACAAUGCACAUUAAGCUAAGCCACCAUAAGAAAAUUGAACUUUUACCUUUUUCCAAAUUAAAGCAAGCUGUGCGAGCUUUACCUCUAAAAUGUGAUCUUGUCAGUUGUUCUAGAUACAGUCUUCACACAUGCAUUUGUGUUUGUGUUUCAUGGAAGUAGAAAUAGAAAAUUCCCUACCACAAUGCUUUUAUUAUUUUCAUAAAUCACUGCAAAAACAAACAGAUGUGAAAAAAGCUGUCUUCUCUGCACUUUCUCAUUAUCAUACUGUCACAUUAUUUCAAUCUUAUAUAUGUCUAAUUAUCCCAAAAUAACAUCUUGUCUGUCCGUCACAUAUGAAAGACUGUAGACAUGGUUCUGUGUUUUCAGUGUUUGGCUUUUGAUGCAUUUGUGGAAUAUAUUUUAGUUUUUUUUAUGUAAAAAAAUAUAUUUUUAUAUAUUUUUUAAGCCAGCGAGUUUAUUUAUUGUGUUUGUAAUAGAGUCUGAGUAGGAGUAUUUUUUUUUUUUUUUUUUUUUGGAAUGUGUAGAUGUGAGUUUAGACAAGCAUCUAUGAUUCCCAUACAUACUCCUUGGUGUGGAACAAAAAUGUCCAGACUGAAAAGAGAAAAAUGUACGCAGAUAAUGGAGUCAUUGGUUGGCACAACUGUUAGAAAAGACCCGGUGAACAUAUCUGAACACAGGAGCCAGACUUGUAAAGUGUAUAAAAAGCUGUAUUUUAAACCAACAAAUAAAUAAGAAAUGAAUAAAAAACAAAAAUCAAAUAAAAACAUUUAUUUAAAACAGUCACAUUAAGCAAUCAUCUACACAGUUUUACCAUCUGCAUGUCACAUUUUCAUUUGACUGUACUGGACUCUUUGACAAACUGGUUUUGUCUGUUUGCCACCAGUUCAUUUGAAGGUGAUGUGUAUAGAUGUAUAUAUGUCUGACAUACAAAAUAUAUAUAACUUUGCUCCAUUAUAAUCCCAGUGUUGGAUACUGGGAGUACCUGCUUGUGGAAGGAAGAUAUUGUGGCAGCAUUUCAUGUUAACAGGAACCUGAGCAACUGAGCUAAUGCUGACCUCUGCUUGUCAGUCCUUUUUUUUUGGUAUUGUCUGUAUUUUGUAUAAUAUGAAACAAAUAUAUACAUUUGCCAGAUAAAAACAUUGUGUUGAAUUGCUGAGAUAAAUAUACAGUUUGUUUUCAUGGUAUUUGUGGAAGAACACUCCAGCAAAAUGUUAAUGUAAAUUAACCUACAAUGUAUCCCUAUCCCAGUGUUCGCAGGUCAUCUGGAUUUUUCUUUCCAGAUGUUUAUUUCACAGAUGUCUUUUCUGGUGCCUGGUUUUUGUAAAUAAAUGACCUUUUCU